CUCCAGGACACUCCUGACACCAUAACCACUACAGUGCUCUGUAGUGGUUUUGGUGCUAGGAGUUUUUCUAUA